UUUUUUUUUUCCCUCCUCUAAUUUUCAACUUGGUUUUCCCUUUUCUGUUUAAAUUGGAUCAUUGUGCUUGAGUGGGGGACUGCGAGUGUGUCCCUGGGGAGUGGGUGUUCUGUAUCCCUGGGAGUGGGUGCCCUUACAAACAGGUGUGUGUUGACGUGUGGUCUUCCUCAAGGGUGGAAGUGAGAGUGUGUGGCCGGGUGUGCACACGUCUCUGCGGGCUUAGCUGUGUAAGGGGCAGGGGGUUCCCACUCUGCAUAUCUGUGGGCACAUGCAUGUGCAAACGUGUGCAUGUGUGGGUGUCUUCAAGACUGCCAGCCAUGUGUGCACUGUGUAUUUGCAUGUAUAACUGCAGGUGUACAUAUAGGGGUGUGUGUGUGUGUGUGUGUGUGUACUGAUGAGGUGUAUGUGGGUGUGUGUCGACAUGUCACUGUAUCUAAUAGUCACGUGUAUAUAGGUGAGUGUGUGUCUGUAUAGAUGCAGGUGUAUGUGUCAGUGGGUGUCUAAGCAUAUAUACAGGUGUAGGCAUCAGUGUAUGUGGGUGUAUCUUUCUCUCUCUGCAGCCAUGUGAAUGGGGAUGUGUCCGUAUGUCUGUCCACGUAUCCAUGUGGAUCUCUGUUCAUACCCACACAUGUGCACAUCCAUACAUAUGUACCUAUGCGUCUUCCCAUGUAUGCAUGUCUUUGGGUCUGUACACAUGCAUAAGAGGCAGAAUUGCCAGAGUUCCCACUGUGGCGCAGCAGGACCAGCUGAGUCUCUGGAGCGCUAGGGCGCAGGUUCCAUCUCUGGCUCCCUCCUCACAGUGAGUUAAGAAUCUACUGUUGCUGGGAGUUCCCGUCGUGGCGCAUGUGGGCUGGGUACAUGAGAAGCUCUGCCUUUGGGACCAGAUAUAGCAUGACAAGAAACAAAAGAUAAGUGCAGUAAGUUUCUUCUUUAACGCAACAGGAAACACCAAAGGUAAUAGGAUCUGACAUUGAGAGAUUCAUUAACAGAGGGAUUCAUCAAUAGAGGUAUAAACCAAGGAGGUGACAGUCUAGCUCUACACAGCCCUUGCUCCACCUGCAACAUGGAUUCCACACUUCAAGAGGGGCUUGGCCAGAUCCAAGGAUGCUGAGGAUUCAACCAUUUAUGGUGAGAGAAGAGAAAAUAUUAUCAGAGAGGAUCAAAUAGCAGAGAUUGGUUGGAAAGAGUUUAACCAGCGGAAGACUGAGGGGACGAGAUCUGGAUUUUAGCUGCCUUUGUUUGGGGGAAUUAUCCAGUUAGCUGUUUUGCUUUAAGCUCUGAUGUACACAAGCCAGGCUCUGUGCUUUGUGCCUGCACCUUUGCAUUUAAUCCUCCUAACAAGCUGCAUUAGUCAGGGUCCUCCAGAGAAACAGAAUCAAUAAGAUACGUACAUACACAUUGGUUUAUUAGGAGGAACUGGCUCACGCGACUAUGGAGGCCGAGAAGCCCCGGAUCUGCUGCCCACAAGCUGGAACCAGUGGUGUGAUUCAAUCUGAGUCUGAAGGUUUGAGAAACAGGGGAGUCAACGGUGUCAACUCGAUCCAAGGUCAGGAGAAACUGAGGUACCAUGUCCCAGGUGAGACCGUGAAGCAGGCAAAAAGGGGAACCGUCUCCUUCCUUGGCCUCCAUUCCACUCAGGCCCUCAGUGGGUUGAAUGCUGCCCCCUGACAUGGGGGAGAGCCAGGUAUUUUACAAAGCCCACCAGGUCAAGUGCACCUCUAUCUCAUCCAGAAACACCCCCAGAGACACCCCCAGAAAUCACGUCUUCAUCCGGGCACUCCACGGCCAGUCAAGGUGACGCGUAAAAUGAACCAUCACUCAAGUCCAGGACCUUAGAACUUUGUGAUCCUCCUUUUAAGGGUGGGGGAGCUGGGGUGUUUAUCCAUCAUGUGUCUGCCAUCGAUUGAGGGCUGCUUCUGGGCACAUUAAGGCUCUGGUACUUUGGGGUCCCCUUAUACCCCGAACACGUCCCCGAGGCCAGAAAAGUGCCCACAGGCAGUGUCAGGUGUUUGCAGAAAAGUAGCCUUUGCCUACUAAGGUGAAUCUCUUUUUUUUUGUCUUUUCUAGGGCCACACCUGCGGCAUGUGGAGGCUCCCAAGCUAGGGGUCUAAUCAGAGCUGUAGCCGCUGGCCUACCCCACAGCUACAGCAACACCAGAUCCUUAACCCACUGAGCGAGGCCAAGGAUCGAACCCACAACCUCAUGGUUCUUAGUUGGAUUUGUUAACUGCUGAGCCAUGACAGGAACUCAUGAACUGAGGUGAAUCUUAUGAAGAGGUUAUAGACGGGAGUUCCCUGGUGGCUCAGAGGGUUAUGGAUCUGGCAUUGUCACUGCUAUGGUGCACAUUUGAUCCCUGGCCCUGUAACUUCCAGGUGCCACAGGUUCGGCCAAAAUCAAACAAACCAACCAGAGUAUAUAGGUGAGGCAGCAAUAAUGUCCACUGCACAAAGGAAGUGGUUUGUGACUUAAUAUCACUUGGCUGGGACGCAACUGAGCAGGACUGGAAUACAGUUCAGCCAGACUCCAAACAAAGCUCUCCAUCUUACAAAAAAAAAAAAAAAAAAAAAA
rnacentral:lncRNA from 1 species